UAAUUUUACCUUAAACUAGAAUCUAAAUGCUAAAUGAGGGUAUAAAGAAAUCCUAAAUGUGAUAUCAUAUGGUAGGAAAAUAAAAUAUUGGAAGAUUAAAAGAAUAAUUAAAAAUAUUUUACAUAAUAAACUAAAUCUAGAAGAUUCUAAUCAAUUAUAUAUUAAUCUAGACUUCAUCUUCCACUCAUUUUCUUCAAAAAAAACCGUGCAUAUCAGCCCCCAUAGGAGAAGUAGACCUCAUGCUUUCAUCUCCCUCUAUUUUGCAAAUCGUUCGGUGAAAUCGAAUUCUAGACGCGUACUCCCCGAUGACUUGAGGCGAAGGAACCUAUAGUGCAUUUUGGAGACAAAGGAGUGAACCUAGAAGGUAGAGAAGUAUCAAGGUGAAAUAUGCUUAUGUUCAUAAGCCUAAGAGGUUAGAGUUGAUAGUAUGUCAGUGUGGUUGGGCAGCUUUGCAAUUUUUGGCGGGUCACUGGUGAUCAACAUGGUUAAAAGUCGUGGCAUGUUGUAUAAUAGUUCAAUCUUUGAUCUUUCGCUGGAUAAAUGUUAAGUUUUUAAUUGUAAUAGUUUUUAAUUGCUCUUUU